GAUCAUGGCUCAGGACGAACGCUGGCGGCGUGCUUAACACAUGCAAGUCGAACGAGAAUCUGCUGAAGGCGGAUUCGUCCAACGGAAGCAGAGGAAAGUGCGGACGGGUGAGUAACGCGUGAGGAACCUGCCUUGAAGAGGGGACAACAGUUGGAAACGACUGCUAAUACCGCAUGACGCAUAGAGGUCGCAUGAUCUUUAUGCCAAAGAUUUAUCGCUUCAAGAUGG
rnacentral:rRNA from 1 species